AUAUGAAAUAUUCCAUUUCAAGCACAGAACAUUUAAUGUUAUUUUGUAACAAAGAUUUUUAUUGAAAAAUUAUUUUUUUACUGAGAAGUUAAAUAUCAGUAUUUUAGAAUUAUCAUUAUUAACAUUUAUUACUUAUUACAAACAAUGUCCGAAUAUGCCCACCGUAAAACGAAACGUUUGGAAAAAUGGCGUUACAAAAGUCAUAUUUUUUUUAGGUUAAUUUACUUGGUUUAUUAUUUUAUUAUUUAUUUAUUAGUUUAUUAUUUUUGAUGUCUUUUUUAUCACUUUAUUAAAUAAAAAUUAAAUGUUCCAUUUUUUUUUUCAAUUCAAAUUCGAAAUUGUGAUUUUGUUAAUUUCUUGUUAAAAAUGAGUGAACCCGGCAGAAAUAAACGGUAUUGCAUUUUCAGCUGUGCGGAUUUGGGUGCACCCAUGCACGGUAUUCCUCAUCCGGAAAGAAAAGUCGAGUUAUUUGCUAUUUGGCUGUCAAUUGCUGGAUAGAAACUGAAGGAGACUGACCCUUGGAAGAUAUAUAAAAAGGUUCAUCACAGUUCCUGCACAAGGAAAGUAAAUCUGCACAAAAGGACAUCAGAAGUUUAAAGAACAAGUUGAGGAAGUCAGUGAAACAGGCAGGACAUAAAAAAGCAAGACUCGCCACGGUUUCUAACCUGUUACAUAGAUCUGACGAUAUGGCAAGAUUUACAAAAAAUAUGAGCCGAUCAUGCCGCAUUUUUACGGGCAUGCAAUAACGCCAAGCAUCAAAAAAACCAAAAGGAAGAAGAUAUAACAUGGAAGAAAAAGUAUUGGCGCUAUCCAUUUUCAAGAAAAGCCCUAAAUGCUAUAAUUUAUUGUAUAAAUAUUUUAAAUUAUCAUCAGCAAAAUCAUUGAAAAACUUGUGCGACAUAAAAAUAUUGCCAGGUAUUAACAAUUGCAUUUUUGAAAAAUUAAAAGAAACUGUUGAUGAGCUCAUUGAAGAAGACCGAUUGUGCACUUUAAUGUUCGAUGAAAUGUCACUGACACCUCAUGUUCAAUAUAACCCUGGAACAGAUGAACUGAAAGGUUUUGUAAGCCACGAUGAUAAAUUAAAAAUCGCCAACCAUGCCAUGGUUUUCAUGGUAAAAGGUAUAAAAAAGAAUUUCAAACAACCUCUGGCAUACUAUUUCACACAAAGUCUGAAAACGAUUGAAUUAAAGUAAAGGCGAUUAUAAAAGAAGGCUAUACACAAAACUGGCCUUAAAGUGAUAUGCACGGUGUGUGAUCAAGGGGCAACGAACGUGAGCGCUAUAAACAGUCUCGUUAAAGACACUAGAGAAAUGUAUAUAAAGGCAGGAAAACAAUGGCGGGAGGAAUGUUUCGAAGUCGAAGGAGCCAAAAUUAUUCCACUUUACGAUGUCCCCCAUCUUAUCAAAGGAUUACGAAAUAAUCUGUUAAACAAAGAUAUACAGUAUAAAGAUUCAAGCCAAAAUGAUAAAAUUAUAAAAUGAGAGUUCUUCGAACAGCUUUAUGAAGCCGAUAAAACACGCGGAGAGCUUAGGAGCCUUCACAAACUAAGCCUUCAAAAAGAUGAGAGUGAAGAUGGCUGCCCAGAUUUUUAGUCAUAGCGUGGCUACAACAACAGACCAUUUCGUUGCCAGAGGACUCUUGCCCGAGGAAUGUCGACAGUUAAUAAAUCCUGUUCUCUUGAUUGAUAAGCUAUUCGUUAGCUUGAAUGCUGGUACAUUUCAUGUGCCAAAUGGCAAAUUAUAUAGAGGAGCUGUGCGCAAAACAUCAGAGCACCAUGAACUGUGGCGAAAGGCAAUAACUUUUUUUAAAAAUGCUAAAUUUUUAUCAAAAAAGAAGAUAGGAAACAAAAUUAGACUCGUCGAAACAAAUAUUCCUAGUACAAAAAAUUUAAUUAAAACUAUCGAGGGAAUGCAAGCCAUCUGGAAAAUUCUUAGCCAAAAAUAUUCUCUAGAUAGCAUGUUAACAAGAAAUUUUAAUCAGGACCCGGUUGAAAACUUUUUUGGAAAUAUUAGAAGCUUGGGAGUACGAAACAAUUCGCCAACAUGCACUACUUUUGAAGGUUCAUUUAAAUCUCUGCUCUUAAAUAACUUUAGUUCCCAACAGGCAAUCAACGCGAAUUGCGAAGAAGAUUUCAAUUCAUACUUGCAAACUUUAGAUUUUUUUUUAGACGAAAAUAAAAAAAAGAAAGUUUAAAAAAACAGAACGAUAUGCAAAUAAACGAAAAACUUAUGGAAUCAUUAACAUCAGAGUCGACAAACAAUGCCAAUUCGUCUACGCAGGCGCAAUAUGUUUGUGGCUGGGUCCUAACUAAAUGUUUAAAAAAAAAAAACACAAUGUUCUCUAUGUCGAAACUCUUUGCUCGCAAACAAAAAUGGAAAAGGUACUCUCAUGCAGGCUAGAGAAUAUACCAACAAGAUUUGGCUUUGCUAUCCAUCGGAUGCAUUAUACAAUAGUUUUAGAGAAAUACAGGACAUAACAGUCACAUACAGUGCUGGACAAAAUGCAUCAUACACCGACAUAUAAAAUAAACUUUCUAUCAUAAUUUUUUUACCCUUAAGCCCCAUUUAGAUGGUACGAGUUUCUCGCCCGUUUUGGUCGAGAAACUCGUAUGACAUUAUCGUA